GAUGAAGAACGCAGCGAAAUGCGAUAAGUAAUGUGAAUUGCAGAAUUCAGUGAAUCAUCGAAUCUUUGAACGCACCUUGCGCUCCUUGGCAUUCCGAGGAGCAUGCCUGUUUGAGUGUCGUCAAAUUCUCAGAACCCCCACCUGAUCUUUCUGACUUGUCUAUGCGGGGUUCCCUCCCGCUGGCCUCUUCAGGAAGGGAGUGGGUUUUGGACUGGUGGAGGAUGCAUUGGCUAACCAACCCUGUGCUUCUCUGAAAUGGAUCGACGUUACGGCUUCGUUGUCGGUAUGAUACACACAUCUUACCCGCUUCCGAGCCUGAACGCAAGCAAACACACUCUCAUGAGUUGACCUCGAAUCAGGCAGGACUACCCGCUGAACUUAAGCAUAUCAAUAAGCGGAGGA
rnacentral:misc_RNA from 1 species